GAGAUUUCUUCGUUGAGAGCUAUUCUCUGUUUAAAUUUAAUCUUCUUCUCUCUUAUGAGAUCAGCAUAUAUCAUUGAAAUGAAUUCACUGUUUGUAUUUUUGACCUAUUUGUAUUAAUUUGUAUCUCGAAGAGAUAAAAAUUAGCACAAAUGCAAUAACAUAACGUAUCGAAGUUUGCAUAAUAUUAAGCAUAUUAAAUAAUAAAGAAAGUUGCUGACAUUUCGAAAUAAUAUACAUAUCAUCGUAUUUUUGAUGAUCUCUUCGAGAUAAAAAUUAGCACAGAUAGGUCAAAAAUACAAUGAUAUGUACAUUAUUCCGAAAUGUCAGCAACUUUCUUUAUUAUUCAAUAUGACAAAGUUCGAUACGUUAUUGCAUGUAAUUUACUAUGCAAAAUCAAUAUGGCAUAUUGAUCGCAUUCAAGUUGCUUUUCCAUCGAUCUUGUCACCUCAUCCUGUAUGAACAUAAUCGAGAAAAACUCGGUUAAAUACAAUCAUUUGUCACUCCAAUUUGUGAUCGCUCGCAGGAUACUGUCGAUAUACGUUAGAAUGCAUAGAAAAAUGCAACGAGUCGUGAUAUGACGUAAAUGUAGCAACAUAUGCGCUUCCGUACCGUGAGUAAAUCCAAACAUCGUGAGCAAACACACAAACAUAUCGUAACCAUUACGUUACCUUAAUUGAAGUACUGCAAUGAUCGUUUGGCACUCCAUUUCGCACCCCUCCUCUUCCUAUCCCUGCACGAUUACUCCGCGUUUGUAAAAUAAAUAUAAACAAAGCGAAAUAUAUAUUACGGAAAUCACUUCAUUAAAAAUCAUCACUUUGCAAUAGGAUAUUUAACCAAAAAUUAUAUGUCAUACGUGCAUGUUUAUCGGCGUACGAUCGGAUGUAGAAAAGAAGAAUUUCGAAGUUUGAGAGUCCAGAUUAUAUCAUUCGUGCUGCAUUAAGCAAAAUACGAUUUAAAAGUUUUAUCUGAAUAUCUUUUUUUCGGUCGCGUUAUGCAUAUUCUACUAUUUUGAAAUAUUAUUCCAAUUACCCA